UUUCUCUAAAAAAAGAGGCAUAAUUAGCGAUUUACAUGCGAAUUACUUUCAAGAUGCACGCCAAGAGCGUAUAGGCCUUAACGCAAAUUGUUCCUCAUUUAUAUCGGAUUUUAAUGCAAACUGGAAUGUGUCAGUAAAUUUCAAUAAAACUCGCAAUGUCAAAUUUCAUGAAAAUCCGUUCUGUGGUUCUCGUGUUUUUUCCAAAACCGGAAGACAUCGCGAAUCUAGCAGAGAAACUGUUCAGAUUUACACCGUGAAAGCGCCAAGAAUUCGAAUUAAUCCUACUGAAAAAUUCAUUCGAUAAUUAAAUUCUGCUAUCGAUAUGAGCUUAUGACUAAUCUGUAGUUUUAUUUCUGUCACCUUCGCCGUGUGAUGUGUGUUGUGAUGUACGGUGGAUAAUAUUGUUUUGUGAAGAAUUCAACUGAAAAAGUGCUUAGAAGCAAAAAGAUAAACCGUUUGAAUUUAUGUGAUUAUAGACUGAAAGCAGACACUGCAUGUUUGUUCCUGUGUUGGACUGCUGAAUCCACAGAAAUUUCGAGGUUAUGAGUUCCUAUGGCGGGCAUGAUAUACGUGCAAUGGAUUAUAUAAUGCACACGUCAUCUAACAAUGCGUUGAAGAUAGCUGCUGGAAGAAUCUACUGCUGUAUUAGUGACGUCAUGGAAGCAUGCUUUCCUCUGACUUCUGUGGACUUUCCUGUUGUGUGUUGCUGUGGCGUAUUUUGGUGCUGGGAUUCCUUGCUUUGGUCCGGGGUUCGAGCUUCGAAGACACUAAAGCAACUACGCUGAUGGUAAAGGAAACGGCGCCGAAGCUCAGAAGGUUAGUCGCCGGCUUCCCCCCGGGUUCGAACCCAGGUGGAGGCCUUGCGACGAGCUGAUCACCC